CAGGACUGUGGCUCCCUUUUCUUCAUCCUCUUCCAUCCUUUUCCCCUCCUAACACAUAAACAGUCACAUACAGACAUACGUGCAUACAUACAAGUGUUGUUUUUUCUAUAUAAACACGCUUCUACAAUUCUUACCAUUUUUAUUGUUUUGCAGGUUUUUUAUUCUUUUUUUUUUUUUCACUUAAGAGAUAUAUCCAGGUCUAGAAGAACCCUGACUUUUUCCAAGUGGCCACCCAAUCCCCAGAUGCAAUCAGAUCUGAAGAAACUGAACCAUCAGAGAAUACCUUUCCCUGGUGACUGUCUUGAUCCUGAGGUAAAGGACCAUGAUGUAUAUAACACAUUCUCAAUGAUCAGGAAAAAAAAAUUGUGUAAGUAUACGAAUUUCCUUUACUCUACAUCAUCAAUAACACUUGCUAUUGUCAAAGAUAAUUUUUUCCAAAUCUGAUAGUAGUUAAAUGAUAUCUCAUUUUUGUUUAGCUUGAAUUUCAUUCAUUACUAGAGAAGUUGACUAUUUCAACUCAAGUUUAUCUUGUUGUUUUAUAAGAGCCAUUUUAAAAAAUUUUUUUAUUAUUUUAANCAUUUUUGUUUAGCUUGAAUUUCAUUCAUUACUAGAGAAGUUGACUAUUUUAAAAAAUUUUUUUAUUAUUUUAAUUGCAGUAACAUUGGAUUAUAACAUUACAUAGCUUUCAGAUGUACAUUGUGAUAUAUUUCGAAUUCUGUGUAGAUUACAUCAUGUUCACCACCUAAAAACUAAUUAUAGUCCAUCCCCUCACAUGUGAACCUAAUCACCCCUUUUGGCUUCUCCCCCUUCCUCUAUGGUAACCACCAAUCCAAUCUCCAUUGCAUGUGUUUGUUUUUCAUUGUUUUUAUCUUCUACUAAUGAGUGAGAUCAUACAGCAUUUGACUUUCUCCCUCUGACUAAUUGCACUCAGCUAAUACCCUCAAGGUCCAUCCAUGUUGUCACAAAUGGCCAGAUUUCAUCAUUUCUUAUGGCUGAGUAGUAUUCCAUUGUGUAUAAAUACCACAUCUUCUAUAAGAGCCAUUUUAAACAGACUUCUCUUUUGCCUCUAUUGUUUAGGAAGUGUGUGUGUGUGUGUGUGAUCGCACAAAUGCUAAAGCUAAUGAGGUAAAAUGUCAACAAUAGAUGAAGCUGGCUGAGAACAUAGUGAUGUUUUUUAUACCAGUCUUAUUCUUGCAUCUAUUCUGUAAGGUUGAAAUUAUUUCCAAACAGAAUUUUUUAUAAAAUAUGUCAUUCCUUUGCACAUAACCUUCCAAUGCUCCCAUCUCAUGGAAGCCAAGGUCUCUAC
rnacentral:lncRNA from 1 species